UUUUGCAGGCAUUGAGUCAUCAUUGCUGGGUCUUGGGUUUGGUUUAGUUUUUCGUCACCCCCUGGCUCUCUGUCCUGCCCAUCACGAUCAUUCUGACUGCUCAGAUGACACCGUUAACUGCCCUUUUUUUUUUCCUUUUAGCUUGCAUUAGACACACACUACUGGACUUGGAUCAACCAUUUUGUCAUCUGGGGGUCGCUGCUGUUCUACGUUGUCUUUUCGCUUCUCUGGGGAGGAGUGAUCUGGCCGUUCCUCAACUACCAGAGGAUGUACUACGUGUUCAUCCAGAUGCUGUCCAGCGGGCCCGCCUGGCUGGCCAUCGUGCUGCUGGUGACUGUCAGCCUCCUUCCCGAUGUCCUCAAGAAAGUCCUGUGCCGGCAGCUGUGGCCAACAGCAACAGAGAGAGUCCAGGUACGGAGUGUCCCCAGCCGGGGCGGGGGUGCCUCAGGGCCCUGGCCUUAGGAUUGGGAGAUGACCGUUUUGAAAGACAGUGUGAAAGGUUUGGAUUUCAUGAAACGUGAUCAGUUCAAGUGUCACUAAUGAGUUUCCUAAUGAUGCAUGGUG
rnacentral:sRNA from 1 species